AGAUAGCUGACAACGUGCUGAUGGUGGAGAGAACAAGCAGAUCGUAAAGACGCCGUAAAUCAUCCCUGAUGGCUCGAACCGCGCCAUCCUUGGCGCGGACGCUUU
rnacentral:ncRNA from 1 species